rnacentral:rRNA from 1 species
GUGGUAGAAGAGCGUUCAUACCAGCGUUGAAGGUAUACCGGUAAGGAGUGCUGGAGCGGUAUGAAGUGAGCAUGCAGGAAUGAGUAACGAUAAGAUAUAUGAAAAUUGUAUCCGCCGUAAAUCUAAGGUUUCCUACGCGAUGGUCGUCAUCGUAGGGUUAGUCGGGUCCUAAGCCGAGUCCGAAAGGGGUAGGUGAUGGCAAAUUGGUUAAUAUUCCAAUACCGACUUAUGGAGCGUGAUGGGGGGACGCAUAGGGUUAAGCGAGCUAGCUGAUGGAAGCGCUAGUCUAAGGGCGUAGAUUGGAGGGAAGGCAAAUCCACCUCUGUAUUUGAAACCCAAACAGGCUCUUUGAGUCCUUUCAGGACAAAGGGAGAAUCGCUGAUACCGUCGUGCCAAGAAAAGCCUCUAAGCAUAUCCAUAGUCGUCCGUACCGCAAACCGACACAGGUAGAUGAGAUGAGUAUUCUAAGGCGCGUGAAAGAACUCUGGUUAAGGAACUCUGCAAACUAGCACCGUAAGUUCGCGAUAAGGUGUGCCACAGCGAUGUGGUCUCAGCAAAGAGUCCCUCCCGACUGUUUACCAAAAACACAGCACUUUGCCAACUCGUAAGAGGAAGUAUAAGGUGUGACGCCUGCCCGGUGCUCGAAGGUUAAGAGGAUGCGUCAGUCGCAAGAUGAAGCGUUGAAUUGAAGCCCGAGUAAACGGCGGCCGUAACUAUAACGGUCCUAAGGUAGCGAAAUUCCUUGUCGGUUAAAUACCGACCUGCAUGAAUGGCGUAACGAGAUGGGAGCUGUCUCAACCAGAGAUUCAGUGAAAUUGUAGUGGAGGUGAAAAUUCCUCCUACCCGCGGCAAGACGGAGAGACCCCGUGGACCUUUACUACAACUUAGCACUGCUAAUGGGAAUAUCAUGCGCAGGAUAGGUGGGAGGCUUUGAAGUAAGGGCUUUGGCUCUUAUGGAGCCAUCCUUGAGAUACCACCCUUGAUGUUUCUGUUAGCUAACUGGCCUGUGUUAUCCACAGGCAGGACAAUGCUUGGUGGGUAGUUUGACUGGGGCGGUCGCCUCCUAAAAAGUAACGGAGGCUUGCAAAGGUUGGCUCAUUGCGGUUGGAAAUCGCAAGUUGAGUGUAAUGGCACAAGCCAGCCUGACUGUAAGACAUACAAGUCAAGCAGAGACGAAAGUCGGUCAUAGUGAUCCGGUGGUUCUGUGUGGAAGGGCCAUCGCUCAAAGGAUAAAAGGUACCCCGGGGAUAACAGGCUGAUCUCCCCCAAGAGCUCACAUCGACGGGGAGGUUUGGCACCUCGAUGUCGGCUCAUCGCAUCCUGGGGCUGGAGCAGGUCCCAAGGGUAUGGCUGUUCGCCAUUUAAAGCGGUACGCGAGCUGGGUUCAGAACGUCGUGAGACAGUUCGGUCCCUAUCUGCCGUGGGCGUAGGAAAGUUGAGGAGAGCUGUCCCUAGUACGAGAGGACCGGGAUGGACGUGUCACUGGUGCACCAGUUGUUCUGCCAAGAGCAUCGCUGGGUAGCUACACACGGAUGUGAUAACUGCUGAAAGCAUCUAAGCAGGAAGCCAACUCCAAGAUAAACUUUCCCUGAAGCUCGCACAAAGACUAUGUGCUUGAUAGGGUAGAUGUGUAAGCGCAGUAAUGCGUUUAGCUGACUACUACUAAUAGAGCGUUUGGCUUGUUUUUUG